UUGACAUUUUCUCUUUAGAUUGGCUAUAAAUCAUCCAAAACCCCGAUCGCUUGCAUACUAACUUGCUUAUUGGAAAUAGAAGAAACAUAGGUAUGUCUUCCAAGUCUUCUCCGCUUUUGCUGCUGCUUCUACUCACAAUUUCUUUAGUCCAGAAACCCAGAAUCACAGAAGCAAGAACGCUUUCUUUCCAAGCUAAGCAAAGCGAACAUUCUAAGAUUUUUGCAACUCUGGGAGUAGUUUGCAAGUGCUGUGAUGGCGACCAGGGUGAAUGCACAGCAACAUGGAAGAAGGGAUCUUGCCACAAGCUCCAGUGCCUUCCUUGGAAGAUAGCCUAAAGAUUGUUUCCUUUAAUUUUGUUUUUUCUGGUGCCUGAAGAUGCCGAUAUUCAAUAAUUUAACCCUAAACUAAUUGAAAUCGACUAUAUAUAUAUAUAUAUAGUUUUUUUCAUCGCUCAAUUUUGUUGGACACCACGACGGCAUCCAAAGAUUGUAACAUAUCCAUAUUCAAUGAAGUAAUGAAUUUUGAGCUUGUUAGAUA